CACGUUUAGGGAAGUGCCCGUCGUCCGUCGUUUCCCCUCCAGCCGCCAGAUGGCAAUGGUGUACAAGAGGCUACAUAUACAAAGGAACGGAGUCCGUCCGAAACAUUCGGAUCCCGUCUGCAACGACGCAAGGCAAGCGAGAAGAUGAUGGGCUUGCGCUCAUCUCAUCUGGAAACUACAACAGGUGAAUGUCCCGUGGUGGCCAUGCUGGAAGCAAGCAACCAUGAACCGGUGAAAGUCCCCUGAUGGCAUUUUUCAAAACAAGCAAUCAAGAGCAAGUCAGGCCGGCAAUCCUUCGGCGGCCAUUUUGUGAGCCAGACGGGGUGCACUUCCUUUGGUGGCCAUUUUUGUGAGCCAGUCGGGUAUGCGUUUUAUUUUUUGUGUGAAUAUUUGAACAUUUGUGUCGCUGUGAUGAUGAUUUUUCCUGCCAUUCGUAGUUUCCACCAGAGGUCAUGUGACCAAAGACGGCUUAAUACUUCCUUGGAUGUCUGAGCGACCCACAACUUUUUAUUUAUUUUCAACGUAGUUGGCAUUUAAACUAACUUUCAUUUCAUUUAGGGUGGAGUAGCUGAGGCGGCCAUUUUGUGAGCCAAACAGGUUGGACUUCCUUUGGCGGCCAUUUUGUGAGCCACUCGGGAAUGUAAAUAUUAUUUUGGGGUGAUUAUUUAAAUGUCUGAGUCGCUGUGAUGACGAUUUUUCCUGCCAUUCGUAGUUUCCACCAGAGGUCUUGCGACCAAAGAUGGCUUAAUACUUCCUUGGAUGUCUGAGCGACGUUGCUCGAUGGUCAUUUGUUAGUUGUGGGGCCGAUGUUAAGGCUUGUCUUGUCUAUUCCCACAGGUUGAUUUCAAGUCAUCUGGAAGAAGCAAAAUGUUGUUUAUUUUUGUUGACUCUGUUUCAAUUGAAUAAAAGAUUUGAAAAC